AUUGAACGCUGGCGGCAGGCUUAACACAUGCAAGUCGAGCGGGGUGAUGGUGCUUGCACUAUCACUUAGCGGCGGACGGGUGAGUAAUGCUUAGGAAUCUGCCUAUCAGUGGGGGACAACAUCUCGAAAGGGAUGCUAAUACCGCAUACGUCCUACGGGAGAAAGCAGGGGAUCACUUGUGACCUUGCGCUAAUAGAUGAGCCUAAGUCGGAUUAGCUAGUUGGUGGGGUAAAGGCCUACCAAGGCGACGAUCUGUAGCGGGUCUGAGAGGAUGAUCCGCAACACUGGGACUGAGACACGGCCCAGACUCCUACGGGAGGGAGCAGUGGGGAAUAUUGGACAAUGGGGGGAACCCUGAGCCAGCCAUGCCGCGUGUGUGAAGAAGGCCUUAUGGUUGUAAAGCACUUUAAGCGAGGAGGAGGCUCUUUUGGUUAAUACCCAAGAUGAGUGGACGUUACUCGCAGAAUAAGCACCGGCUAACUCUGUGCCAGCAGCCGCGGUAA
rnacentral:rRNA from 1 species